rnacentral:piRNA from 1 species
UGCUCAGCAUUCAGGGGGGUAGGCUGGGACC